rnacentral:lncRNA from 1 species
AGACUAGAGAUUGAUAACGAGAAGGGCAUGAAAUAUUCGAGUUACGAGUAAAACGCCUUGUCCUUGAACGCAAAUUGCGGUAGUCACAAGUGAAUCGAAAACCGUGUUUUUUUCUUUAUUUAUACAAUGACUUUGUGUCAGGAAAUUUGGACUGUGAAUGAUAUCCAAAGCGCAAGAAGCGUAGAACAAAUUGGUACAAAAAACAUGACUGGAUUAAAGAAAUUGACACAAGCACGAACUUAAUUGUUUGAUUUAUGACCGUAUAUUGAGAAAAAAAGUCGACAAACACGCAUUUUAAUUAUAACAAGCCCUUAUAUUUACCCAUGGUUGUUGUUUUUGUUGACAAACAGCACACACCCUCUGUAACUGUCCCAAUACCCUCAAUUUAGUCAUUAAACAACUAUUUUUUGGUUAAGUUCAUGUUUUACAUCAUAAUUACUUUCAACACUGAGUUUACAUUUUAUUCUGUACUCAUAAUACUUGUGUUGCAUACAAUUGUAACAAUACAUUUUUUUGAUUUAAUGGGGACUACAAACCAUUGCUUAGAAAGCAAAAUAAAUUUGGUGUAGGUAUAGUCCAACUGAAGAGAGCAUUUCUCUUCUUUUUGAUGUAUACUAUAAAUAGGUUUCUAAAGCGGCAAUUACAUGUAUAACAGUGGUUGCCGAUCAGGGAUUUUUAUUUAAGAGUUUAAAAAAUAAUGUAGCAUUCCUUAUACAUCAUGUCUAUACAUUAUACAAGCUUGUUUUCCACAAGCAUAUACCCCGCAGUAUGAAGAACUCGUGACGAGGGUUUCAUAUGAAAUAAAAUUUAAAAAAUAAAAUCCUCCCACCCGCCCCAUUUUUUUCAAAAAUUUGG